CCUACGGGGGGCAGCAGUGGGGAAUAUUGGACAAUGGGGGCAACCCUGAUCCAGCCAUGCCGCGUGUGUGAAGAAGGCCCUCGGGUUGUAAAGCACUUUCAGUGAGGAAGAACGCCUGGUGGUUAAUACCCAUCAGGAAAGACAUCACUCACAGAAGAAGCACCGGCUAACUCCGUGCCAGCAGCCGCGGUAAUACGGAGGGUGCGAGCGUUAAUCGGAAUUACUGGGCGUAAAGCGCGCGUAGGUGGCUUGAUAAGCCGGUUGUGAAAGCCCCGGGCUCAACCUGGGAACGGCAUCCGGAACUGUCGAGCUAGAGUGCAGUAGAGGAAGGUAGAAUUCCCGGUGUAGCGGUGAAAUGCGUAGAGAUAGGGAGGAAUACCAGUGGCGAAGGCGGCCUUCUGGACUGAUACUGACACUGAGGUGCGAAAGCGUGGGUAGCAAACAGGAUUAGAUACCCGAGUAGUA
rnacentral:rRNA from 1 species